GGGAAUGAUUGCAAGGCUGGUGCCGGCCGCGGUCUUCAAAACCGUUGUCCCUGUGCGAACGGGGAGCUGGGUUCGAUUCCCAGGCGUUCCCG
rnacentral:tRNA from 2 species